CCCCGCGCAUUAUUUUGUUUCCCCCCUUUUCAUUCCCCCCCUUUCACCAGGUGGUAAAAAGCACCGAUGGAAGGAAGGAGGUGGUGUGUAGGGUUUUCAUUCCCCCCCUCUCAUCAUCGUCAGUUUCUAUAUUGUUAGUUAUCCUCUCAACUCUUCUUCUUCUUCUUUUGAGGUAAGGUAAGGAGGUGGUGUGUAGGGUUUUCAUUUUUCUUAGCGCACAAACAGGGUUUUCGUCUUCGCCGUCAGGUCUUCAAGGGAGGGAAAUGCAAUCCCCUCUCCAAACUCUGAUAUAUUUCCAAUAGCACUCUGUUUCAAUUGGAUACUUUACUUUACUAACAUGUUAUGGAUGGAUGGAUGAAUAUGACCUCUCUCAACGAGGAAGGAAGCUUCAUGAAGGAACAACAAGGAAAGAGAUCUAUGCUUCUUGUGAGGGAGAAUAUUGGCUUCAAGAAUGCAUCCAGGAUAGCUUAUUGCUCGCUUAAAUAUUAAAAUUGGGCUGAGGCAGUGGAUAUCUAGAAGAUUUUGGGCAGAUCUUUAUUAGUAGAUAUGUUUUUGUUGUAUGAGUACAUUAUGUGUCUAAUGAAAUGUUGACAGUAAAUCUUAUCUUAUGAUCUGAAUUUGUGUAAUGAUAUGAAUUUGUGGUAAACGUUGGUUUUCUGAUUGUAUAUAUUUUCAUACUUGUGGAUUUAUGUUGCAGUUAUUAUUUUGGUG